UACAGAGGUCUCAAGCGUUGUCCGGAUUUAUUGGGCGUAAAGAGCGUGUAGGCGGCCAGACAGGUCCGUUGUGAAAACUCGAGGCUCAACCUCGAGACGCCGAUGGAAACCGUUUGGCUAGAGUCCGGAAGAGGAGAGUGGAAUUCCUGGUGUAGCGGUGAAAUGCGCAGAUAUCAGGAAGAACACCCGUGGCUAAGGCGGCUCUCUAGUACGGUACUGACGCUGAGACGCGAAAGCGUGGGGAGCGAACAGG
rnacentral:rRNA from 1 species